rnacentral:RNase_P_RNA from 1 species
GAAAGAGGGAAAACGGUCGCGCUUUAUGAUUGCAUAAGGUGAGAAAAGUCCGAGCUCCACAGAGCCGGGGUGCCUGGUAACGCCAGGGCGGAGAAAUCCGACGGAAAGUGCCACAGAAAACAGACAGCCCACCUGGCGAUGAUUCUCGUCGUCAGCGGCGAUGGUGAAAACGAGGUGUAAGAGACCCCGCCUGUCACAGGAAACUGCGGCAGGGGUAAACCCCACCCGGAGCAAGGCCAAAUAGGGAAAGAGGGGUUGGCUCGCCCCGCUUGAUUUCCGGGUAGGUCGCACAGAACCGGCAGGCAACUGUCCGGUCAAGAUAAAUGGCCGUAUUCGCCGUUAGGGCGAAACAGAACUCGGCUUAGUUUCCUCUUUCUGGC